UACAGAGGUCCCAAGCGUUGUUCGGAUUCAUUGGGCGUAAAGGGCGCGUAGGCGGCCACGCACGUCCGUUGUGAAAUCGCCCGGCUCAACUGGGCGGGGUCGGCGGAUACGGCGUGGCUGGAGCAAGCUAGGGGGCAAUGGAAUUCCUGGUGUAGCGGUGAAAUGCGUAGAUAUCAGGAGGAACACCUGUGGUGUAGACGGCUUUCUGGACCAUAGCUGACGCUGAGACACGAAAGCGUGGGUAGCAAACAGG
rnacentral:rRNA from 1 species